rnacentral:rRNA from 1 species
CCUACGGGUGGCAGCAGUGGGGGAUAUUGCACAAUGGGGGGAACCCUGAUGCAGCGACGCCGCGUGGGUGAAGGAGCGUUUCGGCGCGUAAAGCCCUAUCGGCAGGGAAGAAAGUGACGGUACCUUAGGAAUAAGCCUCGGCUAACUACGUGCCAGCAGCCGCGGUAAUACGUAGGAGGCGAGCGUUAUCCGGAAUGACUGGGCGUAAAGGGUGCGUAGGUGGUUUGGCAAGUUAGUAGCGUAACUCCAAGGCUCAACCUUGGAACUACUACUAAAACUGUUGGACUUGAGUGCAGGAGGGGCAACCGGAAUUCCUAGUGUAGCGGUGGAAUGCGUAGAUAUUAGGAGGAACACCAGUGGCGAAGGCGGGUUGCUAGACUGUAACUGACACUGAGGCACGAAAGCGUGGGGAGCAAACAGGAUUAGAUACCCUUGUAGUC